rnacentral:rRNA from 1 species
AAGAUGGCGACCGGCGCACGGGUGAGUAACACGUAUCCAACCUGCCGAUAACUCCGGAAUAGCCUUUCGAAAGAAAGAUUAAUACCGGAUGGCAUACGAAUAUCGCAUGAUAUUUUUAUUAAAGAAUUUCGGUUAUUGAUGGGGAUGCGUUCCAUUAGUUUGUUGGCGGGGUAACGGCCCACCAAGACUACGAUGGAUAGGGGUUCUGAGAGGAAGGUCCCCCACAUUGGAACUGAGACACGGUCCAAACUCCUACGGGAGGCAGCAUG